rnacentral:rRNA from 1 species
GCACAAGCGGUGGAGCAUGUGGUUUAAUUCGACGCAACGCGAAGAACCUUACCUGGGCUCGAAAUGUAGUGGAAUCCGGUAGAAAUAUCGGCGCCUAGCAAUAGGCCGCUAUAUAGGUGCUGCAUGGCUGUCGUCAGCUCGUGUCGUGAGAUGUUGGGUUAAGUCCCGCAACGAGCGCAACCCUUAUCUCCAGUUGCUACCAUUUAGUUGAGCACUCUGGCGAAACCGCCUCGGAUAACGGGGAGGAAGGUGGGGAUGACGUCAAGUCCUCAUGGCCUUUAUGUCCAGGGCUACACACGUGCUACAAUGGCCGGUACAAACCGCUGCAAACCCGCGAGGGGGAGCUAAUCGGAAAAAGCCGGCCUCAGUUCGGAUUGGAGUCUGCAACUCGACUCCAUGAAGCUGGAAUCGCUAGUAAUCGUGGAUCAGCAUGCCACGGUGAAUACGUUCCCGGGC